rnacentral:rRNA from 1 species
UCCCGGAAGGGGGAUUAAACAUUCUUAAUUUAUUGAUGGCUUCAUUGAUAUUAAAAUUACGAUGGUUGAGGAUGAGAUGCUCUGAUAGCUAGUUGGUAGUGUAAUGGACUACCAAGGCGAUGAUCAGUAGGGGAACUGAGAGGUUGAUCCCCCACACUGGCACUGAGAUACGGGCCAGACUCUUACGGGAGGCAGCAGUAGGGAAUAUUGGACAAUGGGUGCAAGCCUGAUCCAGCCAUGCCGCGUGCAGGAAGAAGGCCUUCUGGGUUGUAAACUGCUUUUGCCAGGGGAUAAAAAGCCCAUGCGUGGGAAAUUGAAGGUACCUGGUGAAUAAGCCACGGCUAACUACGUGCCAGCAGCCGCGGUAAUACGUAGGUGGCAAGCGUUGUCCGGAUUUAUUGGGUUUAAAGGGUGCGUAGGUGGUCUAUUAAGUCAGUGCUGAAAUAUCCCGGCUUAACCGGGAGGGUGGCAUUGAUACUGAUGGACUUGAAUGGAGUCGAGGUAGGCGGAAUUGACGGUGUAGCGGUGAAAUGCUUAGAUAUCGUCAAGAACACCGAUAGUGUAGACAGCUUACUAGGCUCUUAAUUGACACUGAGNCAC